UUAUUUAUUCAUAGAACAUGUACAGUGCAGGAAGCUGAACUGAAAGCUUACUCCACGGCUUCUUGCCAAUGGGCCUGCUCCCUGCCCUGGGAGAAUGCUGUGUGUUCUCAGAAAUAAGAA
rnacentral:sRNA from 12 species